rnacentral:rRNA from 1 species
AUACGUAGGGAGCGAGCGUUGUCCGGAAUUACUGGGUGUAAAGGGAGCGUAGGCGGGAGUGCAAGUCAGAUGUGAAAUACAUGGGCUCAACCCAUGGGCUGCAUUUGAAACUGCAUUUCUUGAGUGAAGUAGAGGUAAGCGGAAUUCCUGGUGUAGCGGUGAAAUGCGUAGAGAUCGGGAGGAACACCAGUGGCGAAGGCGGGUAACUGGACUGCAACUGGCCCUGAGGCGCGAAAGUUUGGGGAGCAAACAGGAUUAGAUACCCUGGUAGUCCACACCGUAAACGAUGAAUGCUAGGUGUAAGAGGUAUCGACCCCUUUUGUGCCGGAGUUAACACAAUAAGCAUUCCGCCUGGGGAGUACGGCCGCAAGGUUGAAACUCAAAGGAAUUGACGGGG